rnacentral:tRNA from 1 species
GGAGAGAUGCUCGAGUGGCUGAAGAGGCACGCCUGGAAAGCGUGUAUGCGUCAAAAGCGUAUCGGGGGUUCGAAUCCCCCUCUCUCCG